rnacentral:lncRNA from 1 species
AAAAAAGAGCUAUCCCAUAACCAGAAACGAGAGCCGUUCCACGGCGAGGAUAGCCAUCGGGAGGGGCCCUGGCCUCCCGCCUCCCGGGCGACCUCAGGACCGGGUUCUCCCGCCCGCGGCAACAGGUCUCAGGUCGAGAGGGGCGGGGCGGGGCGGGGCGGCGCCUGGGUCCCCUCGGCCGCCGCCAGAGGGCAGCCAGGGAGCGCGCCGGGCGGCAGGGCCGAGCCCCCAGGUAAGUCCGCCUCAAGUGGGGCCGCCCCCCUUUCGGGACCCGGUCCCCCAGGGCUGGGGGGUGCGUUUGGCUCCGCGCCGGGGCCCGAGGGGGCGCGCAGGGCGGCCUGGAGCGGCGGGCGGGCCCUGUGGGCCCCUUGCGCACGGGGAGGGGGCGAGUCCCGGGCCGGCGGGGCGCGGACAGGGCCUGCCGCCGCGCUCUCCUCGCCGCCGCGCUCCCCUCGCCGCCGCGCUCCCCUCGCCGCCGCGCUCCCCUCGCCGCCGCGCUCCCCUCGCCGCCGGCCUCGCCCGGAGCCUGGCGCUGGACCCGAGCGGCCCGGGGCGGCGCCUGGGCGCGGCCCCCGGAACGGUUCGCGCUCUGCGUCUGGCCUGCAGCCUGCCAGGGGCCCUCCAGGCAGCCCGUCGUGCGCCCCGAGCCGGGGGGCGGCGGGGGCGGCAGCGGAGGGGAGGGGCGUGGGCGGCGAGGGCGGCCGCAGACGGCAGGCGGCGCUGGGGCGAGCGUUCCCGGCGGGCGAGUCAACAAGUGCCGUGUUUACCGAGCGCCCGCCGGGGCGCGCACGUGCGGCGGGAGCGGCCUCGGUGUCGCCGCGGCCGACCGCGCCCGCGUGGGGGCAGCGCGCCACUGCCCCUGUGCCGCCCGGCCUUGCCUUGGGUGAGGGUCCCGCACUCCUGAUGAUCGGCGUGGAGCGCGGUGGUGGGCCUGGGCCCUGGCCGGUUGGGCUUUCGCCUGUGGUUCGGUGGUCAGGAGUGGAUUCCGAUGGGUGCCAGGAGUGUGUGAGGUGGGGAGGGAGGUACUUCUCAAGGCCCAGGCAGGAGUCCCCCGGUUCGUCUCUUCCAGCCUGGAUCCCUCUUCCAGAAUCCCGCCCUGGCUUGGUUUUUCAGGCCUCGGAAACCCUCUCCCAGCAGUCAGGCCCCCCGCUGUUUUUCCCAGGCAGACGGUUUGGAGGAAGUGCUGAAAUCCAUCCAGGGCGCCUCCCUGCCUUCAGAAUGAAGGCUCUGGACUCACAGUGGUGCCCAUGA